rnacentral:rRNA from 1 species
UCCGGUGAUCCUAGCGAGGAGGAAACACCCGUUCCCAUUCCGAACACGGCAGUUAAGCUCCUCAGCGCCGAUGGUACUGCACUGGAAACGGUGUGGGAGAGUAGGUCGUUGCCGGGA